GAUGAACGCUGGCGGCGUGCCUAAUACAUGCAAGUCGAGCGAACGGACGAGAAGCUUGCUUCUCUGAUGUUAGCGGCGGACGGGUGAGUAACACGUGGAUAACCUACCUAUAAGACUGGGAUAACUUCGGGAAACCGGAGCUAAUACCGGAUAAUAUUUUGAACCGCAUGGUUCAAAAGUGAAAGACGGUCUUGCUGUCACUUAUAGAUGGAUCCGCGCUGCAUUAGCUAGUUGGUAAGGUAACGGCUUACCAAGGCAACGAUGCAUAGCCGACCUGAGAGGGUGGUAGGCCACACUGGAACUGAGACACGGUCCAGACUCCUACGGGAGGCAGCAGUAGGGAAUCUUCCGCAAUGGGCGAAAGCCUGACGGAGCAACGCCGCGUGAGUGAUGAAGGUCUUCGGAUCGUAAAACUCUGUUAUUAGGGAAGAACAUAUGUGUAAGUAACUGUGCACAUCUUGACGGUACCUAAUCAGAAAGCCACGGCUAACUACGUG
rnacentral:rRNA from 1 species